ensembl:miRNA
GCAUCUAAUGGCUGCAAUCAACAUUCAUUGCUGUCGGUGGGUUUUAGUUUGUAUCAACUCACUGAUCAAUGAAUGCAAACUGCGGACCAG